rnacentral:rRNA from 1 species
AACGAACGCUGGCGGCAGGCCUAACACAUGCAAGUCGAACGCCGUAGCAAUACGGAGUGGCAGACGGGUGAGUAACACGUGGGAACGUACCUUUCGGUUCGGAAUAACUCAGGGAAACUUGAGCUAAUACCGGAUACGUGCGAGAGCAGAAAGAUUUAUCGCCGAAAGAUCGGCCCGCGUCCGAUUAGCUUGUUGGUGAGGUAAUGGCUCACCAAGGCGACGAUCGGUAGCUGGUCUGAGAGGAUGAUCAGCCACACUGGGACUGAGACACGGCCCAGACUCCUACGGGAGGCAGCAGUGGGGAAUAUUGGACAAUGGCGAAAGCCUGAUCCAGCCAUGCCGCGUGAGUGAUGAAGGCCUUAGGGUGUAAAGCUCUUUGUCCGGGAAGAUAAUGACGGUACCGGAAGAAUAAAGCCCCGGCUAACUUCGUGCCAGCAGCCGCGGUAAU